rnacentral:rRNA from 1 species
AUGGUUCAUGCGGCAGCUAUAAUGCAGUCGAACGGUCGGUAGCAAUACCGAUAGUGGCGCACGGGUGCGUAACGCGUAACCAACCUACCCUUGACUGGGGGAUAGCCCGCCGAAAGGCGGAUUAAUACCGCAUAAAACUGCAGCACGGCAUCGUGUAACAGUUAAAGAUUUAUUGGUCAAGGAUGGGGUUGCGUGCCAUUAGCUAGUUGGGGGGGUAACGGCCCACCAAGGCGACGAUGGCUAGGGGAGCUGAGAGGCUGGUCCCCCACACGGGCACUGAGAUACGGGCCCGACUCCUACGGGAGGCAGCAGUAGGGAAUAUUGGGCAAUGGCCGAGAGGCUGACCCAGCCAUGCCGCGUGCAGGAUGAAGGCUUUCUGAGUCGUAAACUGCUUUUACCAGGGAAGAAAAAAGGGGAUGCGUCCCCUACUGACGGUACCUGGUGAAUAAGCACCGGCUAACUCCGUGCCAGCAGCCGCGUAAUACGGAGGGUGCAAGCGUUGUCCGGAUUUAUUGGGUUUAAAGGGUGCGUAGGCGGCCGAUUAAGUCUGGGGUGAAAGCCCGUUGCUCAACAACGGAACUGCCCCGGAAACUGGUUGGCUUGAGUACAGACGAGGGUGGCGGAAUGGACGGUGUAGCGGUGAAAUGCAUAGAUACCGUCCAGAACCCCGAUUGCGAAGGCAGCUGCCUAGACUGUAACUGACGCUGAGGCACGAAAGCGUGGGGAGCGAACAGGAUUAGAUACCCUGGUAGUCCACGCCGUAAACGAUGGAUACUCGCUGCUGGCGAUACAAUGUCAGUGGCUUAGCGAAAGCGUUAGGUAUCCAACCUGGGGAGUACGCUCGCAAGAGUGAAACUCAAAAGAAUUG